rnacentral:misc_RNA from 1 species
UUUCCGUAGGUGAACCUGCGGAAGGAUCAUUAUUGAAUAACCGAGGUGCGAGGGUUGUCGCUGACCCGAAAGGUCGUGCACGCCCGAGUGCCCUCACAAACAUCCAUCUCACCCCUGUACUCACUACCGCGUGGGUCCCCCUUUGGCUUGUUCGGAGGGGGGCUUACGUUUUCACACUAAAUUUGUAUGAAGUGUAGAAUGUAUUAUUUGUUUUUGCAAUCACGCAAUAAAUACGACUUUCAACAACGGAUCUCUUGGCUCUC